CCUACGGGUGGCAGCAGUGAGGAAUAUUGGUCAAUGGGAGAGAUCCUGAACCAGCCAAGCCGCGUGAGGGAAGACGGCCCUAUGGGUUGUAAACCUCUUUUGUCGGAGAACAAAACCCGGGACGUGUCCCGGACUGCGUGUAUCCGAAGAAAAAGCAUAGGCUAACUCCGUGCCAGCAGCCGCGGUAAUACGGAGGAUGCGAGCGUUAUCCGGAUUUAUUGGGUUUAAAGGGUGCGUAGGCGGUCCGUUAAGUCAGCGGGAAAAUUGCGGGGCUCAACCCCGUCGAGCCGUUGAAACUGGCAGACUUGAGGUGGCGAGAGGUAAGCGGAAGGCGCGGUGUAGCGGUGAAAUGCAUAGAUAUCGCGCAGAACUCCGAUUGCGAAGGCAGCGUACCGGCGCCAGACUGACGCUGAGGCACGAAAGCGUGGGGAUCGAACAGGAUUAGAUACCCCUGUAGUC
rnacentral:rRNA from 1 species